AAUCCUCAUCAGCCUAAUAGUCAUUGUUUCUCUAGCAGUGGUUUAAACAGAAGUGCAGACAGCAAAUGGAUCUCAUUGCUUUUUAAGGGCUGUGAUUGUGCCCUUUAAAGUGAAUUUAGAGGUUCUAUAUCC